CUAUGUGUUGUUGGGUAGGGGAGCGUUCUGUAAGCCUGCGAAGGUGACCUGUGAGGGUUGCUGGAGGUAUCAGAAGUGCGAAUGCUGACAUAAGUAACGAUAAAGCGGGUGAAAAGCCCGCUCGCCGGAAGACCAAGGGUUCCUGUCCAACGUUAAUCGGGGCAGGGUGAGUCGACCCCUAAGGCGAGGCCGAAAGGCGUAGUCGAUGGGAAACAGGUUAAUAUUCCUGUACUUGGUGUUACUGCGAAGGGGGGACGGAGAAGGCUAUGUUAGCCGGGCGACGGUUGUCCCGGUUUAAGCAUGUAGGCUGGUUAUCCAGGCAAAUCCGGAUAAUCAAGGCUGAGGUGUGAUGACGAGGCACUACGGUGCUGAAGUAACAAAUGCCCUGCUUCCAGGAAAA
rnacentral:rRNA from 1 species